AGAUUGAACGCUGGCGGCGUGCUUAACACAUGCAAGUCGAGCGGUAACGCGGGAGCAAUCCUGGCGACGAGCGGCGAACGGGUGAGUAAUGCUUGGGAAUCUGCCCAUUAGUGGGGAACAACCAGCCGAAAGGUUGGCUAAUACCGCAUACGCCCUACGGGGGAAAGCGGGGGAUCGAAAGACCUCGCGCUAAUGGAUGAGCCCAAGUCGGAUUAGCUUGUUGGUAGGGUAACGGCCUACCAAGGCGACAAUCCGUAGCUGGUCUGAGAGGACGACCAGCCACACUGGGACUGAGACACGGCCCAGACUCCUACGGGAGGCAGCAGUGGGGGAAUAUUGGACAAUGGGGGCAACCCUGAUCCAGCGACGCCGCGUGUGUGAAGAAGGCCUGCGGGUUGUAAAGCACUUUUAGUGGGGAUGAAAAGCUCAGGGUUAACACCUCUGGGUCUUGACCUAACCCGACAGAAAAAGCACUGGCUAACUCUGUGCCAGCAGCCGC
rnacentral:rRNA from 1 species